rnacentral:sRNA from 1 species
AAUUUUGAUAUUGUAUGUUCAGUCUCUACAAAAUCAAUCAGACAAGAUAUUUUCUUUAGGACAAUAACCAAAUUUUUGCUCAACUAUUCACAUAUUGUACUAAUUACUUGCCUAAACAUAUAAAUUGUAAGUACUACCCUCAUAAAUUGCACACAUUAAUCCCUUGAAAUUCUACUAAUUCAAUAUUACACGAAA